GUCUUGCCUGCCCAGUGACAUUAGUUCAACGGCCGCGGUAUUUUAACCGUGCGAAGGUAGCGUAAUCAUUUGUCUAUUAAAUGUGGACCUGUAUGAAAGGUAGAACGAGGGCUUAACUGUCUCCUUUCUUAAGUCAAUAAAAUUGAUCUCCCCGUGCAGAAGCGGGGAUAAACUCAUAAGACGAGAAGACCCUGUAGAGCUUUAGAUAAAUAGGUAGCCCACGCACUACCCGACGAGGGGAAAUUUAAGGGGGAUCUAUCUUUAUGUCUUAGGUUGGGGUGACCCUGGAACAAUAAAUAACCCUCCAUGUAGAACGGUAAUAGUCUUUUACUAAGAUUAGAGCGACAGCCCUAAUUAUCAGAAUUUCUGACUUUUAAGAUCCGGCAAUGCCGAUUAACGGACCAAGUUACCGCAGGGAUAACAGCGCUAUCCCCUUUUAGAGACCAUAUCGACGAGGGGGUUUACGACCUCGAUGUUGGAUCAGGGCAUCCUAAUGGCGCAACCGCUAUUAAGGGUUCGUUUGUUCAACG
rnacentral:rRNA from 1 species